AGUGAACGCUGGCGGCAGGCCUAACACAUGCAAGUCGAACGGCAGCACAGUAAGAGCUUGCUCUUACGGGUGGCGAGUGGCGGACGGGUGAGGAAUACAUCGGAAUCUACUUUUUCGUGGGGGAUAACGUAGGGAAACUUACGCUAAUACCGCAUACGACCUACGGGUGAAAGCAGGGGAUCUUCGGACCUUGCGCGAUUGAAUGAGCCGAUGUCGGAUUAGCUAGUUGGCGGGGUAAAGGCCCACCAAGGCGACGAUCCGUAGCUGGUCUGAGAGGAUGAUCAGCCACACUGGAACUGAGACACGGUCCAGACUCCUACGGGAGGCAGCAGUGGGGAAUAUUGGACAAUGGGCGAAAGCCUGAUCCAGCCAUGCCGCGUGGGUGAAGAAGGCCUUCGGGUUGUAAAGCACUUUUGUUGGGGAAGAAGAGCAGCAGGUUAAUACCCCGCUGUUCUGACGGUACCCAAAGAAUAAGCACCGGCUAACUUCGUG
rnacentral:rRNA from 1 species